CGAACUGCUAGUAGCCUUCAUGUAAUUUGGCGAUCCACCACUCGUUCUAAGCAUGAGCUGCUGCUUCUGUGGGGUUGCAGCAAUGGUUGAAGCAUUGCGAGACAGCGACAUUCCAGGCCUGGACAUAGUUUUCCUCAAAGUCCUCUGUUCUUACCAUCGUGGUGCUGAUAAGGCGAUGGUUUGAGGUUCCCCAACCGCUUCUCGGAUUUAACAUGGUCAGCCUGGACUCCAAGCUUGACGGCUACCUUUCUUUGUACCAUCUUCAAAGAAAUUCAACGGACAUGGAGAAGAAAAACUUCCUUGCGUAUGAUGAUUUUUGGUUGAUUUUGUUUUAGGUUUCAGUGGGUGGCUUUUUCACUUUGGUUAAAUUUAAACAAGGAUUGGGAUAGCAGUAGAAUGCUGACUUCCUUCACAGGUGGUUUAUGUCCAUUUGUUUAGGCAUUUUCUGAAUACAAUUGUUACACGCGUGUCAUGGGAAUACUACUACAUGUGGCACUGACUGAAUUUUUGGCCUUUCGCCAACACUGUUAAGAAUUUGCUAUUUGAUGUCUGAUUACGUUAUCUUUUAAAUGACAAAAAACCCUUGAUUAUGUGGAUGAAA